UGGGGAAUUUUGGACAAUGGGCGAAAGCCUGAUCCAGCAAUGCCGCGUGUGUGAAGAAGGCCUUCGGGUUGUAAAGCACUUUUGUCCGGAAAGAAAUCCUUGGGCUCUAAUACAGUCGGGGGAUGACGGUACCGGAAGAAUAAGCACCGGCUAACUACGUGCCAGCAGCCGCGGUAAUACGUAGGGUGCAAGCGUUAAUCGGAAUUACUGGGCGUAAAGCGUGCGCAGGCGGUUUGCUAAGACCGAUGUGAAAUCCCCGGGCUCAACCUGGGAACUGCAUUGGUGACUGGCAGGCUAGAGUAUGGCAGAGGGGGGUAGAAUUCCACGUGUAGCAGUGAAAUGCGUAGAGAUGUGGAGGAAUACCGAUGGCGAAGGCAGCCCCCUGGGCCAAUACUGACGCUCAUGCACGAAAGCGUGGGGAGCAAACAGGAUUAGAUACCCUGGUAGUCCACGCCCUAAACGAUGUCACUAGUUGUUGGGGAUUCAUUUCCUUAGUAACGUAGCUAACGCGUGAAGUUGACCGCCUGGGGAGUACGGUCG
rnacentral:rRNA from 1 species